rfam:Gossypium hirsutum cultivar TM-1 unplaced genomic scaffold scaffold699.1, whole genome shotgun sequence
AUGUGCCUGGCUCCCUGUAUGCCAUCCGCAGAACCGAUCGAACAACGAUGGCAUCUGUGAAUGGCGUAUGAGGAGCCAAGCAUAU